rnacentral:misc_RNA from 1 species
AAGUCGUAACAAGGUUUCCGUAGGUGAACCUGCGGAAGGAUCAUUAACACGUAUCCAACGUUAAACAACCCUGUGAACUUUCAACGCUCUUGUAGCCCCAGAGGAACAGCAAUCCCGGUAAAUCAAUGGCGGAAAAGUUUUGAUUCGGGACCUCUGUCCAAAAGGUAUCAAGUGCAGAAGGAUCCACUGAGUAAGGAUAACGCAUCACGGUUGCCAGAGGUCGAUCACCGGCAGGCAGACAUGUCACAGGGCGCGCGCGCCCCCUCAUUCACCCCUUGCCCUCUCAAGCCUCGCGGAAACGCCGGGCAUAAAAACCGAACAACUGUUAACAAUGGAUAUCUUGGUUCUC